rnacentral:rRNA from 1 species
GAUGAACGCUGGCGGCGUGCCUAAUACAUGCAAGUCGAGCGAACGGACGAGAAGCUCGCUUCUCUGAUGUUAGCGGCGGACGGGCGAGUAACAAGUGGAUAACCUACCUAUAAGACUGGGAUAAUUUCGGGAAACCGGAGCUAAUACCGGAUAAUAUUUUGAACCGCAUGGUUCAAAAGUGAAAGACGGUCUUGCUGUCACUUAUAGAUGGUUCCGCGCUGCAUUAGCUAGUUGGUAAGGUAACGGCUUACCAAGGCAACGAUGCGUAGCUGACCUGAGAGGAUGAUCGGCCACACUGGAACUGAGACACGGUCCAGACUCCUACGGGAGGCAGCAGUAGGGAAUCUUCGGCAAUGGGCGCAAGCCUGACGCAGCAACGCCGCGUGAGUGAUGAAGGUCUUCGGGUCGUAAAACUCUGUUAUUAGGGAAGAACAGAUGUGUAAGUAACUGUGCACAUCUUGACGGUACCUAAUCAGAAAGCCACGGCUAACUUCGUG